ensembl:snRNA U1 U1 spliceosomal RNA
GUACUUAACCUGGCAGGGGAGAUACCAUGAUAAUGAAGGCAGAUUUCCCAGGGAGAGGCCCAAGCAUUGCAGGCCGGGUGUGCUGACCCCUGGAUUUCCCCAAAUGUGGGAAACUCAACUGCAUAAUUUGUGGUAGUGGGGGACUGCAUUUGCAAAA